rnacentral:lncRNA from 1 species
UUAAAUAUCUCUCUCUAUCCAUGUCUCUCUCUUUCUCUUUCUCUUUCUCUCUCUCUCUCUCUCUCACAUACUCUUUAUUGCAAUUCACCAAUUCUGCUUCAACCAAGACCAAAAAUCAGGGAAACCAACUCGGUUGUUGUUCUUCGUUGUAAUCCAACUAGGUGCUCAAGGAAUUCAAUGUAGUGUGACUUUUGAAAGUAUCGUCAUCAAUGGUCAAAGAAGAAUACUCAUCUUUGGUUCGAUACAUUAUCCUUGAAGUACUUCACAAAACUAGUAUCAUUUUUUCAGGUGAAAUGUGGGUUUACAUGAGCUUCAAUUCAUAGGGUUUCAAACAGUCGCCGAAAACCCUAGAAAUUAACCGUCACCGCCAUUCCAACGAACACUAGGGUUUCUAACUAUGAGGUCAUCGGAGAAGCAAAGAUACAAAGUGAUUGUUGUCGUGUUCGUCGAGGUAGGAUUUGUAGAGGUGAAGACGAUCGUGGCAAUGGUGGAUUUCAGUUUCUGGCGGCGUUAGGGGUUCGUCGUGUUCGUCGAGGUAGGGUUUUCACUUUUUGAUUGAUUUUCCUCUCUCGCACCUCAUUCAACUGACCCCAUUCAUCCUCUUUUGGUUCGCCAGAUCUGUAACUUUUUUCCUAUCAUUACAUUUUUUCCUGUUUCUGAAAUCUAACUAUCUCUUGUGUUGAAUAUAUAUUUGAUUUUGAUUUUAUUUUCAUAAGGAAGUGGGGGAAGAGGUAUGUCUCCUACGAAAUAUAGGAAUAUGUUGAAAAAAAUAAGAAACAAGGGGAAGAUGAACUCGAGUCUAGUACUUUCUCUUUGCGAUCUGGGUGGAGAUGAUGAUCCAGACGAUGAAAUCAUGUUUUAUUUCCAGAUUCAAAAAUUAUUUUUCAGACUCGAUGUAACUGGUUUAAGAUUUAGAAUCAUAUGUAUGUAUGUGAUUCAAAUUUUGUGUUCUUAAGUGUGUGUGCGUGUUGAAGUGCAAACCCAGAAAUCUGGAUUUUGUGUGUGCAUGUGUGUUGUUCUUGAAUCUAGCCAUGAUGAUUUAUUUAUCUUGAGAUGAGUUCAUUUUUUUGCCAUAUGGUAGUACCAGUAUGAAGCAUUCAAAUAUUGAAGAAGAUGCUUCCUCCUCUUCUUUAGAGAGAGAGAGAGAGAGAGAGAGAGAGAGAGAGAGAGAGAGAGAGUGAGUGUGUGUUUAAUUUUUGUUUUAUUUUUAGUUGUUUCUUAAUUACUGUAAUAAAA